AAAAAAAAAAAAAAAGUCUCUUUGUCCCCUAUUUUUCGACCCCUUUUUCAUGUUUUCUCACCAGCCGGUUACUGCCGUUGGCUAUCCACCACCUCCGAUAGUCGACCAUGCCCCUAGGCAUGCUCUUUUGCGAUUCAGGCCUCCCCUUCCGCUUCUAGAAGAGAGGAAGUUUCCCUCUUUCUUUCUUGUUUCUCUCUCCUCUUUCUCUCUCUAAGCAUACCUAUGGAUCCCAUCAUAGUUCUGUCUCUCUUUCCUAUGGAUUCAAGUUGAUCGCAGUAAAGAGGUCCUGAACCACCUCGAUGCCCGAGCAGCCUGCUAGAAUGAUCACCUUGGUUCUUAUGGAGUAUCAUCAAAAUCUACGGUUGAUGAUCGCUAUCAAACAAUCUUGGCUUUGAUCAAGUCCUUGCUUCUGAAUUUAUUGAUUGAAUCGCUUAAAUUUGACCCAUCUGGAGCUGCUAAACACUGUCAACCAGCCAAUUGUUUGUCAUCUUCUUUCUCUUAAAAUUUUAAUACUAACAAAGUUAUUGAAUAGAAAUUAAUUGUACAUUUAUGUCUUUAAAUAAGUUUAACCGAUUCUCCUAGUUAGUUUUGAAGAUUCAAAGUGGAAGAAGUAACUAGAUCUCACACUCAUUAAUUUUUAAAUUGUUACGUACUUUUUAUGCAUAUGGUUUCUCAAUGAAAAUAUCGUAUUUUCUUAAAAUAAAGGGUCGGCAUAUGUAUUAUGAAAAUUAUGCUUUGCUAUGAAAAAUGACUCCAUAAGUAUUUUAAAUAAAAAUAGCUUGUUUAUGCAAUGUGAAUCUUAUUAUGCCAUUUAGUGUUUUACCACUUAUAUAUAUAUAUAUAUAUUUUAAAAGAAGAUAAAAAUAUUUUAAAGGUUUUCAGAAUUAGGAGAGAUUGACAUUCAGAACGAGUUUUAUACGAAUACAAACCUUGCGGAUGGAUAUAAAGUUGGCAUACAAACUAUAAAUCAAAAUACUUUGUUGAUUACAAACACAGGCCCUGUCACUGGUAUAAAGUAACCUUAGCACAAAUAUAUGUGAACAAUGUUUUGAAUUAUGAUAUGGCUAAAUGGCAAUAUAAUUUAUAACUUUAUUUGUGUAAUAGACUUGGAACCAUGCUUAUGAAAUAUUGAUGAUUAAUGCAUGCAUGAUUGAUUAUAACUUGUUUUAUCAGAAUGUACUAUUAAGUAUUUUAUUUUGUAGUGAAAAUUAUUUUCUCUAAAUAAUAUGUUGUUCAUAUAAAAAUUUAUGCUUGAUCUAGUAAGGUAAUGUAAGUUUUACUUACUGAGUUGUGUAGCUCACAUUUUUCUUCAUUUUCUCUUUUUUCAGAUAAAUAGGAUGAUUAGGAAUGAAGAACACUCCAGGCUUGGAGUUCAUGCUACCAAUCUUGAAGUUUUUUAUAGCAAAAAUUUUAGUGAUUAUGAAUUGACUUUAUGAAUUUUAAGUUGGAGGUUUUGAUAUUUAAAUUUGGAUUUAGACUCUCUGAAUAAGCACUUAUUUAUUUAUUUAAUGGAUGAUAGAUUUAGAUCCUUUUAUUAUAUUUUAUUUGAGAUGGUUUUGUAUAUAGAUUAUGAUUGUUGGCUUCAUACUUUUAUGGGUUGUACCCCUCGAUAGUAUUGUCAUAUUAUGUCCAUGAUUUGUAGCAUGAUAGGUUGGCCAUGCAUAUGGCAUGCACGAUGCAUACGUGCGCAUGACUAUCAUGUUUCGCCACAUGCCUCAGCUAAAUUAAAUUUGAAAUUGGAUUCAUAAUAUAACCUAUAACUUCAUAAUCAUAAACAUCACAAAUUUCAAAUUGGCUAGUGUUAAAUGGAUUUAAUUUGAAUUUGAAAUUUAAACUCUUGACUGACCUAUGCAUGUGCUGUUGGGCUAUUGUGAGGCACCAACACUAGCGGUCCAUUUAGAUUUUUUAUUGAGAGAGUCAUUGAGGCCUUUAUGAGCCUCUCCAGGAGUUACCCUAACCGAGCCUAAAAAUAGCUCCAAAUCUUGGAUCUCAAAAUAAAAAAUCUAGAUCAGGACUUGUAUUGCUGCUCUGAGAUUGAGAAGGAGGGAGAGGGGGAGAGAGAGAGAGAGAGAGAGAGCGCUUCCAUUAGCCUUCUUUUUCUUCUUCAAAUUUUCCACUCGAUUUCUUUCUUUUUUCAAUUUUUCUUAAAACUUUUCUGUUUUUCUUUUCGAAAACUGAAAGAGUCUAUUAGAUCAGAACUCCAAGUGAUUAUACGCCUUUAGACCGAGUUGGGUUCAUUGUACCUUAGGACGAUCUUGCCGUAAACUUGCACGACUGGACAAAUUCUGUUCUUAGGCUGCUAUCUUUACGUGCCAUAUUCCAGACAUACCUUCUUCCAAUUAAUCUAGCAAUCUAUCUUAUUAUUAAAUUUUAAAAUUAUUUAUAAAUUUUGUUUUAUGCCAAAAAUUCCGUGGGGACUAGCAACCAACAUAGAUAUAUUAAUGGCGUUAUAAAAUAUUUUGAGACUUAACAUAAAAAAUGCUUUGCAAAAAGAAAUAGAUUAAAAUGAUUGCUAUGACCAUUUAUUGAAUUGAUUUAUAGGAUUAUUAUAUAAACCUGAUUGCAGUUUUGCCGAAAAAUUUGGAUCUUCACUCCACCAGCAAGAUUUCUGAAUCUAAGUACAUGUAACUUUCUUGAGAGAUCCUAAAAAUUUGGAUCCUCACUCCACCAGAAAGAGUGUUUUUUUCAUUCUUCUUUGGCUAAUUUAUAAGUCUCAACUAUGGUUUAGCAAGCAGAAGUUUUUUUCUUCUUCUUCUUCUUUUUCUGCUAAUAGAACUCCACUUGCAAUACGUGAUGUAUUUCGAUACUCAAGUCUGCAUUCAUAUGCUAACUUGCUAAGUAGAACAUGGAAAAGUUAAGGUGGAGCUUAUGUGAAUCUCGAAUUAACAUGCAUCAAGUAAUAUCGGCCAAGCACAGACUUAAAAAUUGAUCGACCUUUUUUUCUCUUCUUGAUGUAAUCCUGCAUAAACCACUUCAAGUCAUGUGCCUUCUUCGGAUUUUCGAUUUCAUAACCUUUAGUGCAUGCACAAUAUAGGUGCAUGGUUCAAAAUUUUUUUUCUUUUUCCUUUUUUAGUCAGGUGGAUAAUUUAUACGAUCCUCAUGUAGACAUAUCUAUUUCGCCUGGAAUCCUUGUGUAGACACAUUCAUUCGAUAUUUUCCAUUACUAACGCACUUGAUUUGCCAGUGAAUGUAAACUUUAGUGGCUCCAACUGGUCAAUAAUGCCAUAUAAUUGGCUUAAGUAAUAUAGAGAAUAUCAUUUAGAUAAAUCUACUUAAAAAAAAUUUGCUAGCUUUGUCUAUUAGCUCAAUUUACCUAUCCAUUGGCUCCAUCAAUUGUCCAAUUAAAACCUAGCUUGGAACGACCAGUCUGUGCUCAUUCCAUCAAGCUUAUGUUUUAACAUACUCGUGCAUUUGGAUGGGAUUACCUUUAAAACUUAGGAAAAAGUCCUUGCUUUCCUAAGCAUUAUAUCCCCAAGGGGCAGCCCAAGAGCCACGUUGAGCCAUGUCUAGGUAAUACUACAAUUUAAACAUUUUUUGAAAAAUCUUUGGAUUCACUUGAGUUAAUUUUUUUUCCUCCCUAGUUCUUAAAAAAAAUUGAGGGAGAAAAUCUUGCAUCUCAAAAGAUGUUUCAAGAGAAAAACGUAAAUAUGUUGUGACACAAUGAGUGAUAGCGUCAAUAGCCCAUGCUGCAAACCCAAAGGAUAUUACCAAGCCUCGUGUCGUAGAACAUAAAAGAUCUAUUACCUUUUUUAGUAAGUUACAAUACUUCAUUAGCAUUUACGUUUAUUACACGUAGAUUCAAUAGUUUGUAAAGCCUACACUUACAUCCAGAUAAAUUAACAGCGUUAAUGAAACCGUUUACCUUAUAUGAAAAGUCGACAUUGCUCGUGGGUAGAAAGAAUAAUGCACAUAUUUUCUUAUAUCGUUAGGUGGUUCUUACGUCACUUAAGAUUAUUUUGGUUAUUUUUUAAAAAUUUUUUAUAGUAUUUAGGUCCUAUUUAAAGUUAAUAGCAUGACGAACAUUCUGCUAAGUUAUGGAUUAAAACAUUAGAUAAAAAUACAUUUCAAAAGGCAAGCAUAGAUUUUUCACACCGUUAAAUGUAAGCAUAAUUUAUCUCUAAAUUUACAGGAAGUUACGUAAUUUUUUUUCUUCUCUCUCUCUCUCUCCCUUUUUCCUGAAUCUUAGUUAAACCAAAUUCAAUGGAAAAUUUUGGUAACUAGAAGAUGUUUUAUAUUUUGUCUUGUGUAGAAAAGUAAUUUCCUAGUUUUGACGUUCUAUAUAUUCUUGUACUUGAAUCUGCUGCUUUUACAUCAUGUAUCAGAAUCCAACUGCCGACGUCCGUGCAGCACUAGAAAAGCAGCUCCAAGUAAAUUUACCGUUUGACGGAAACAUUGGACCCUUUGUGUGUCAAAGAACAACACUAACAUCAAACACUAUACUUGAUUCCAAUUGCAUGAGUGCUAUAGAUUUGUCCAUGCUUAGAUGCAAGGUCACAUUACGUGAAUCAGAUUCUUUUUUUUUCUUUUUCUUCCUAAUCUACUCAAUUUUGUUAAAGUUUAUCCUUCCAACCCAGUGCGAGAAGUGCAAAUCCCACUUGGAUCCUUAACAGGGCAAAAGAAAUUCUUGGAGAAUAUUCUUGUUAGCUUUUGAUGAACACCACUUCUAGUGAGCCAUGAAUAUGGAUGCCAGAGGCUUAUUUGAAUCCAAGAAGGAAAGAAUGAAGGAAUGCUUGCAAGUCGUGAUACGCCAAUAAAGGUUAUGCAUUCCUGACUGUAGGUGAUGAUCCCCCAUAGAUGGAUAUUUUUUUUUAAAAAAAAAAUGGAUUGAGCCCUAGAGAUAGUUUGAAGAUGAUGGUGGUGCCAGAUCAUACUAAAAAAAUUGAUGACGGCGGCGGUGAUGAUAUAGAAAAUCUCUUAAAAUAUCAUUAGAUUUAAACAUUUGGAAUUUGGACUAGAUCUUUCUUCCCUAGUGCAGGAGUGUGCGCGGAUUGUCGUAUAUAAUCUUAUAUAAAUAAAUCCUCAUGCUCUUGCAUAUAGCAGUGGCGGAGGAUGUAUGUAUUUGUCAAUAUUUUUAAGGAGAAAAUUAAACAUUCUUUGCCAUGGCAGUAUUGUAAAUUAUGUCAUCAUGAAUCCAAGAUCCUACACUUUAUAAUAAAUAAAGGAAGCAUUCAAAAUUCUCUUCAAGAGGUUUAGAUCGAUUACCAAUCUUUGGAGAAAGCAUAAUUCUUAAUUAUGAAAGCGACAAAAGUCUCUCCCUUACAAGUAGGCUAUAUUGAUGCAUUAAUUCAACAUAAAAUAUAAUAAUAAAUAAAGAAAAAUAUAUUUGUCAAACUUGGAUUUAAAUGGUCUAUCAUUUAAGAUAAAUUAUUUUAUUUAGUAUGAUGUUUAUCUCUGGAAGACUUUUUUUUUUUAAAAAAAAAAAACUUUGGCAAUUAUCCUCUUGUUGAAUCUAUUACUUUGGUACCGUCUAUCAAGAUCCAAUCCUUGUGUCAGCAUCCAUAGAUGCCGCACCAAGACCCAAACAUAGACAUAUCUUACCAAGUAACAUCAAAUAUCAAUGCUACACCAAUUGCAUGCUUCAUGGCUUGCAAUUAUAGAUACAGCUAGGCCUUUUAGGAAUCAAAUUCUAUCUUUUCCUCCCAAAUAAUUCAAUAUGCUUUAUUAUAGUGCCUGCAAAUUUGAUCACCUUUUUCUUGCAGGCUUACCCUUCCACCCCAAUAGGAAUGUCUACAGUGCACACCCCAUUUCCUUGAAUCCUUGAUGACGCAAAGAUAAUUCGUCAUACACAUCACGUCUUCGCGACCCUUGCAUCUAAAGAAUAAUACUUUAAAUAAUACUCAAAUAUCGAAUAAGUUAAAGACUUGUGGUGCUUAUAUACUCUUGGACCCAUCUAUUUAAAUAAUCUAGAUUUUUAGAUGGGACCUCAGAGCCCACCGAUUCUUUUUGUCUACCGAAGCCUCUAUACUCUCACUUGAUAAUCCACAAAUUCCAUCCCUCAGGCUUUACAUGUAAGAAGAGUGCUCAAGAAUAAUAGUUCCAUAUCGAAUAGGUUAGGAAUCUUGUGGUGCGGAGAUACUCUUGGGCCCAUCCAUUUAAACACUUGGGUUUUAGAUACGAUGUUAACAUGUUACAUGUUGUUGAAAAGCUUAUUCUUAGCUGUACAUGUAUCUGGAAAAGAAUACAAAAGACAGAGGUUUCAUGAAUCAAGGAUGGUAUGGGGGAAGGAAUAUUUUGCAAGUCAGAGAAUGGAAAAGAAAAAAAAAGAUUACAUUCGUGGGGGCUGAGUUAGUGGAUUUGAGAAGGUAGAAGGUAGGUACAAGCAUAUAGAAACAGAAGGCUACGGACUAAAAGAAUGAAAUCAGAUGCCAUAUAUCUGCUAUUUAUUCUGAAAUAUUUUCUAGAAAUGCUUGCAAGAUUCAUGCAGGAAGUGCGAUCACUUUUAUGUAUACGGAAACAAGCAUCUAUACUCAGACUUGCAUUUCAAAGUUCAUGCAUAUAUGGUAUAUCAUGCCCAACUCAGUGUUAGCCUAGAUGCACAAAUAUAAUUGAUAAAUUAAAUAUUUUUAAUAUUCAAAAACAAUAAUUAAGAAGAAUAAACUAGCAAAUAAUUACACUACAAAAAAAUAUUAAUUUGCCGACUCUUCCCCGCCGACGCUAUCAAAAAGCGUCGGCGAAUUUCGAGCGGGGGUCGAAACUCGACGACGCUUUUUGAUAGGGUCGGGUGAAAUUUAGAGACGACAANNNNNNNNNNNNNNNNNNNNGAGUGGUAUCAGAGCCAGGUUAAGGUAUCCUAGGGUUUAGGUUCAGGUGAGUAUGAGUGGAGAAUUAUGAUAGGAAAACUAUCAGAGCCUUGGUUUAUAAACACCUGAGAUUGUAACAGAAAUGAUAUUAUAAUCAUAGGUUUAAGACCACUAGGGACUGUGGCCUUAGUAGCAUUAGAGUUUGAGGUUUAAGAUCAUUGGGAUUAGUGACGAAAUUAAACCAAAGCAUAAGAUUAAGAUCAUUUGGGGUUGCGGCAGAAAUGUAUUAUAGCUUAAGGUUAUGAUCACUUUGGACAUGAAGAAAGUAGUAGAAUUAAAUUCAAUGCUUAUGUAUAAGAUCACAAGGCAUUGUGAUAAAAUAUAUGUAUUGGGUUUGAUAUUCGACAAGUAUAGAAGGACUGGAUAAAUUGUCUUUGAUCAUGAUAAAAGAGGAUUAGACCUAAGGCAAGUAUAGGAAAGUUAGCCUUGGCAUAUCGGUUAUAUCAUGUUCAGAUGUUGGGUAGGUGACCUGAAAGUUCAAACAUAAAAUGGGUGUAGAUGUGAUAGCACCUUUGGUUUUGUUGGUAAUUAUUAGAGUAGAGUUUGUGCAUGGAUCUAUCAUAGCAUUGGAGUGAGCUAAGAACGAUUUUUCAUAAUAUUAAAGCAGAUUGUUGUUCGAGGUUAAAUCUGUAUAUGAGAUUAUAUUUGGUAUUGACAUGUUUGGAUAUUUUAAUAGGUGUAUUUCUAUUGGUGGGUUAAAUUCUUAAGGCUAGCAUGCAAAUUGGUGGAGAAUUCUAAUUACUUGAAUUUGUAUAUUCAGAUUAGGCUACUGAAUUUUUUUUUCAUAAUUGUUGGAGACUAUUGGAUGUGUUAACUUGAACACAAGUCUAGAUUUAUGAUCUAACCAGGAAUCUUUGUUAAAUACAAUAUUGGGUAGAGAUUUCGAUUUCGAGAUGCUUAUAUGAGUUAUCACAUGUAGCAUUGAUGUUAAACAUUAAGAAUCUUAGUGAAGAAAGAUUUGGAGGAUAAUGGAGUUAAUUCUACUCAUAGUAAUAUUGGCUCAAUGACUUCUAACCCAUUGAAUUUGAAAUAAAUCUUUUUUUUUGGAAAGAAGAUCAACGUAGAUUGUCUAAUCGAAUUGCUAAGGAAAUCCAAGGUUAACUUAUUUUAAAUUAAAUCUAGAUGUUUUGAAUUCUAAAAUGGUUGUGAAGAUUAUAUAGUAAUCUUAAACUUGAUUAAUGGCUUGAGGGUUAGUUAUGAUUAGUAUACUCUACAUAAAUUGAGGACAGAGAGAUCUGGAGGUUCUGCUCAAUUAAAGUUUUGAAAUUUAGAUUUUCUUACUCCCAGUGCAAAGUGAUAAUUCGGUCUUAAAUCAUUUAGAGGCUCUAGAGUAUUGAAUUCAAUCAGAGUACGCAGCAGAAGUGUGGUGGUUUGAGUUAUUUUGAAAUUGGUUAAGGACAUUAAUAUUUGAUCUAAAAGGUAUUAUGAUGGAACACUUGAGUUAGUUUCUAAUAGAGGAGAAUGUUGUUGAUUCUAUGGAUGAUCUAGAGGUAGCUAUGUAAUUUUCACCAGUGGUUCUUCCUUUGUUGACAACUUUUGGAAGAAACUUGGGCAUCUUAAAUUUAGCGUUAACGGUUGAUGAUUCCUUGGUUGGUCUUAGACUUGGAAUAUUUUAACAUGAAUCUUCUAUUUGUUGGGAUGAUGUGGGUAAGAGAAAAUCAUUAGGCUCAGAGAUAGUGCAACAGACCAUAUAUAAGGUGCAGGUGAUCAGAGAACGACUUCAUAUAGCUCAGAGUCGUCAAAAGAGUUAUGUUGAUAAUAGAAGGAGAGAACUGAAAUUUUAAUUGGAGAAUCAUGUUUUCUGGAGAGUAUCACCCACUAAAUUGAGCUCUAAGUAUGUUGGUCCGUUUGAGAUUUUGGAUAAGGUUGGAGAUGUGGCAUAUCGAAUGGCUUUACCACUGACUUUAUCUAGUGUGCACGAUGUAUUUUAUGAAGAAAUACAUCGCAGACCCGAGCUAUGUGGUAGCAUAUGAGCCAUUACAUCUACAUGAGGAUUUGACCUAUGAGGAGUUCCCAACACGAAUCAUGGACAGAAAAGAUCAGGUACUACGGCAUCGAACCAUUCCUUUUAUAAAGGUACAAUGAAACAAUCAUACGGAAAGAGAGGCUACUUGGGAGCUCGAAGAAGAGAUGAAGGUCAAGUAUCUGCAGUUAUUCGAAACCUCAGGUGUAUAAAUUUCGAGGACGAAAUUUUUUUUUAGGAGAGGAGAAUGUAAGGGCCCACAUCUUUUGGGGCUUGGGCUAGCCCGACACACCUGAAACGUGAGGGAGACUCCCGAAUAGAGAGUCUUCCCUCCCCUGUUUCUAUUGCUCCCAUGAAUCCACCGGAAGAGGAAACAAAGAAAAAAAAAAGAGAGAGGGAGACGGGAUCAAAUCCUACCUUAUUUGAAUCAAUUUACAUCUAUAAAAAAAGAAUCUCUUCCCCUCUUCCUUAGGGCAUCAACCGAGAGUCUUUCCACAAAAAAAAAGGGGAGAAAAGAGGGAUUUGGAGUUCUAGGCGAUCCGUGGGAGAAGCUCGGGUUGCUCGCCGUUGGACCAGCCGGAAAGGUUCGCCGGAGGCAAGGUGAGCACCCUCGCCUCCUUCUCCUUCGUCUUUAGCUAUUAUUUUCUUGGGGAUGUGGCCGGGAAGCCGCCGGGCUGAUGGGGAAAGCCGAGCCUCUGUUCGGCCUUCUUCCCUUCCGUUCCGGCUGGCCGUCGCCGGGCGUGGCACCACCAUGGGGCGUCGCCGGCCAUGGGCCGCCGGUUGCCAAGCACUCUCCUCCUUUCCGUCGGGAAGGAGGAAGGAAGAGAGAGAGAGAGAGAGAGCCAAUCUAUCUCGUCUUUGUUGUUUUAUUGACGGGAAGAAGAAGGAAGAGAGGGAGAGAGAGAGAGAGCCGACUCUCUCUCUUCUUUGUUAUUUUAUUUUCUCCCUCUAGUUGCUGUCUCUUAUUAGUCUAUUUUCUCUCUAGUUACUCUCUCUUAUUGCUAUGAUUUCUCUCUAGUUUAAUUUAGGGAGAUCAUGGACUGUUGGUUGGUCCUGGGGUGAUAGAUACUGGUGGAUCCUUUAGAGGAUCCAUAAAGAUUUUUGGGUUGCCAGAUAUUUUAGAUAAUUUUUAAUGAUGACUUGAUUCCGUAGGGGAACAAUUUGUUGGACGAAAGGACGCUGAGCAGGGUUCUGCAUAUCCGGAUUUAUAGAUCGCCGUGAGGGUGGGUGAUUAGUCUGUCCGAGUUAACAAAGGGUAAGAAUCCUUGUAUGCCAAUCCUACAUGAUAUAAAUAUUUUUGCACUAUAUAUGUUUGAUAUGCUAUGAUCCAGACAAAGCAAAAUAGUUUUAUAUUAAAUUAUAUUUUGAUCGUGUUGGCUUGUAAUUGGUAUUAUGAUGGAUGCAUGUAUGUGUAUAACCUAUACCUGCAUAAUUGGAUUUAUGGAUGUGGCGGUAUGGACUAAUCAUAUUAUAUUGAUUGCCCUGUCACGGGCUGGAAACGUGACCAUGGUUAGUCUCGGUCGGAAAUAAAGUGGAAAAGGGAAUGGAUGUGUGUUUGUGAAUUGAUUAAAUGAAUAGGAACUUUGGGCUUAUCUCGUUAUUAUUGAUUGCCCCAUCACAGGCUGGAAAUGUGAUAUUAUCGAUUGCCUCGUCACAGGCUGGAAAUGUGAUACUAUCGAUUGCCCCAUCACAGGCUGAAAAUGUGAUACCAUCGAUUGCCCCGUCACAGGCUGGAAAUGUGAUACUAUCGAUUGCCCCGUCACGGGCCGGAAACGUGACCGGGAUGUAGCCCAAAGUCGGAAAGAUAAUUGAUCCGGAUCAAGUUAAUAUAGAAUGGAAAGAAAAAGCAUUGAAAACAUUAAUGAAGAUUUAUGAGCUAUCGUAUGCUAUAUCAUUUUUGUGUGGUUGAACUUUCAUUGAUAUUUGAUGUACAUACUUAUUUGAGCCUUUUUGAUAGCCGGUUUAUGAUUUCAUGAAAUGUGAAUCGAUUUGUCGUGGCCUUCAAAUUCAUAUUAUUAUUGUGUUGGUUUGGAUGCGUAGGGAUUCUUACUGGGCUGUAAAGCUCACCCCCUCUUCUUCUUUUUCUUUACCAGAGUUACAUGAUGCAUUGAUUUGGACAGGAUGGGCGCAGAGUGCAAGUACCCGAGUCAUUAGUUAGUUGGUUUGUUUAUCUUUCUUUGAUGUUGAUGAACAUUUGAAGAUCUUGUAAUUGAACUAAUUUGUUUAUCUGGUGUGGACAUGUUGGAUUUGUCUAUUUGAAUUACUAAAUUAAUUGUGGAUUUAUUGAAAUUUUUGAUAAUCAUAGGCCUUGCAUGAUCUUUAGGGCACUGCUCUAGGGCUCAUGCGGCCGGUCGCGUGCCGGACCCGGGUGCUGGGUUCGGGGCGUGACAGAGUGGUAUCAGAGCCAG
rnacentral:lncRNA from 1 species